UUCACCCCCGGGUUUGGAUGGCCGGGUCCUUCAUCUCCUCCGGCCCGCCGCCGCCACCGCCGUAGUCCCCGCCGGACCCGCGACGCCUGUCCCCACCCACCCUUCGCAGCAUCGACCAGCUCCACUCAUCUGACUCCCGCAGGAAGCCAGCGAUGGCGCACCCCAUCCCAGCAAGCAGCUGCGUGCUUGCUUCAGCUCGGGCUGUCCGCCGGGCAUGGCGGCCUGUGCCGCACGUCCUGGAGUCGCUCAUUCCUCUUAAGCUUACAAACCACUCUGCGCGGUCUUGAAUAAUACUCUCUUGCUCCUCUUUAUGUUCUUGCGAUGUGCUGUGCUCUUCUGCAAUUUUAAAUGAUCUAGUGAUACUGUUCCCUUAUCUUCUUGAGUUGGAAUCUUUUUAGAGAUGAAAGUUUCCAUUCCAAUCCUCUUCCAGAGACAAAGUAAAUGCCAUCUAAGACAACCACAAUUUCAAUUCUUCCCGGGUAACGUGAACUGAACAUCAGUCAGACUCUUCUCCUAGUUUAAAAUCAGGAUGUGAAACUAGUAGUACAGGCUUUGUAAUUUUUUUCUUUCUCAUAAGGGCAGUCCGUGCUUGUACUUCGAAAAAUAGAAAACUUGGAGUAGUGGUGUGAUGUCUGGAACCAAGGGCUACAUGAGCAUCAUAACUGUAACAUCCAACUGAAGACAACAAAAAUCUGUUUUGUGGAUGAUAAAUUCUCAAACUGAAUACAGAGUAGCAGUGCAGUGCGCAUUUAUGUGAACAAUAUAAUAUACAGCUGAAAUUCACUAAACGAAAUCUUUAUAUGACUAAUUCUACUAUGAUAAGUAGUUUUUUGUUUAAUUUGUGUAGGAAACAGAGUCAACCUUUUUGUCAAAUUUUAUGAUCUCCUCUGUUUGACAUUACUAAUACCUGUUCAAUUGAAGGUUGGUACUGGUGCUCGAUCUGAGAAGAUAGGGACGUACAAGGACAACAGAGUGACAGACAUCGGUUGAAGAUGAAUUUUGAACUGACUAGCUUCCUUUUAGGAGAUAUCAGAUCUGCUGUUCAGUCUUGUUCCACAAUGGAGCAGCAGGAGCACUUGGAGGAAAUUGCCACUUUUGUGGGUGCGACAAAGGUAUGAUCUGUGGAAUUGGCCCCUCAGAAGCAGGUCAUCAAACAGACGAUGUGUUUAAAUGGAUGAAGGUUGAUGGAUAAGCUGUACAUGAAGAAUCCGACAAAACUCAACAUAGGCACAUUUUUCUGUAGUUCAUGGUCAUGGUCAUGACUAAUGUCCCAGAACAUAGCAAUGCAUCUCAGCUUCCCUGUUGGUGGCAGAUUAUUGGAUUAUUAGAUAACAGACAUGAUAUGCACAAUUUUCGAUUGCUCCGGUAUUCACAAUUAAAUAUACUUCAAUUAUGCUG